AAUAGAUACCCGGGUAGUCCACGCCGUAAACGAUGAGUGCUAAGUGUUAGAGGGUUUCCGCCCUUUAGUGCUGCAGCUAACGCAUUAAGCACUCCGCCUGGGGAGUACGGCCGCAAGGCUGAAACUCAAAGGAAUUGACGGGGGCCCGCACAAGCGGUGGAGCAUGUGGUUUAAUUCGAAGCAACGCGAAGAACCUUACCAGGUCUUGACAUCCUCUGACAACCCUAGAGAUAGGGCUUUCCCCUUCGGGGGACAGAGUGACAGGUGGUGCAUGGUUGUCGUCAGCUCGUGUCGUGAGAUGUUGGGUUAAGUCCCGCAACGAGCGCAACCCUUGAUCUUAGUUGCCAGCAUUCAGUUGGGCACUCUAAGGUGACUGCCGGUGACAAACCGGAGGAAGGUGGGGAUGACGUCAAAUCAUCAUGCCCCUUAUGACCUGGGCUACACACGUGCUACAAUGGAUGGUACAAAGGGCUGCAAACCUGCGAAGGUAAGCGAAUCCCAUAAAGCCAUCCUCAGUUCGGAUUGCAGG
rnacentral:rRNA from 1 species